rnacentral:rRNA from 1 species
CCUACGGGUGGCUGCAGUGAGGAAUAUUGGUCAAUGGCCGGAAGGCUGAACCAGCCAAGCCGCGUGAGGGAGGAAGGCGCAGAGCGUCGCAGACCUCUUUUGCCGGGGGACAAAAGGCCGGACUCGUCCGGUCCUGAGGGUACCCGGUGAAAAAGCAUCGGCUAACUCCGUGCCAGCAGCCGCGGUAAUAGGGAGGGUGCGAGCGUUAUCCGGGUUCAUGGGGUUUAAAGGGUGCGAGGGCGGGCCUUUAAGCCGGCGGUGAAAUCGGGGGGCGCAACCCCGCCGAGCCGUUGGAAAUGGGGGCCUUGAGUUCGGCGGAGGCAUGCGGAAUGCGCGGUGUAGCGGUGAAAUGCAUAGAUAUCGCGCAGAACCCCGAUUGCGAAGGCAGC